rnacentral:rRNA from 1 species
GAUGAACGCUGGCGGCGUGCCUAAUACAUGCAAGUCGAGCGAACAGACGAGGAGCUUGCUCCUUCGACGUUAGCGGCGGACGGGUGAGUAACACGUAGGUAACCUACCUAUAAGACUGGGAUAACUUCGGGAAACCGGAGCUAAUACCGGAUAAUAUUUCGAACCGCAUGGUUCGAUAGUGAAAGAUGGCUUUGCUAUCACUUAUAGAUGGACCUGCGCCGUAUUAGCUAGUUGGUAAGGUAACGGCUUACCAAGGCAACGAUACGUAGCCGACCUGAGAGGGUGAUCGGCCACACUGGAACUGAGACACGGUCCAGGCUCCUACGGGAGGCAGCAGUAGGGAAUCUUCCGCAAUGGGCGAAAGCCUGACGGAGCAACGCCGCGUGAGUGAUGAAGGUCUUCGGAUCGUAAAACUCUGUUAUUAGGGAAGAACAAACGUGUAAGGAACCGUGCACGUCUUGACGGUACCUAAUCAGAAAGCCACGGCUAACUACGUG